AUUGAACGCUGGCGGCAGGCCUAACACAUGCAAGUCGAGCGGAUGAAGGGAGCUUGCUCCUGGAUUCAGCGGCGGACGGGUGAGUAAUGCCUAGGAAUCUGCCUGGUAGUGGGGGAUAACGUCCGGAAACGGGCGCUAAUACCGCAUACGUCCUGAGGGAGAAAGUGGGGGAUCUUCGGACCUCACGCUAUCAGAUGAGCCUAGGUCGGAUUGGCUAGUUGGUGGGGUAAAGGCCUACCAAGGCGACGAUCCGUAACUGGUCUGAGAGGAUGAUCAGUCACACUGGAACUGAGACACGGUCCAGACUCCUACGGGAGGCAGCAGUGGGGAAUAUUGGACAAUGGGCGAAAGCCUGAUCCAGCCAUGCCGCGUGUGCGAAGAAGGUCUUCGGAUUGUAAAGCACUUUAAGUUGGGAGGAAGGGCAGUAAGUUAAUACCUUGCUGUUUUGACGUUACCAACAGAAUAAGCACCGGCUAACUUCGUG
rnacentral:rRNA from 1 species